rnacentral:lncRNA from 1 species
AAUCAUGGUACAGGUUGCGACAAGAGUUUCUGAAGUACCUUUCCCUUUGCCAAUUAUCACAGUUAUGCAGCUUCGUAAUUUGUAUUUAUAUAUAUGAGGCAGGAGGAAUAAUUAAUUUUGAACUUUGAUGAACUGGUCAGUUUUUUCUUGAAAUGCAGGAAGGUAAUGCUAUUGAGCUCCAGAAGAAAGUAACGUGGAUUGCUCGCUAGAUGUUCGUAAUUUCGUUUUUCUAAAAGGAGUGUAAGAGAAAGUUUGCUCUUAUUUCAAUAGUUCCUUUUAUAUUUUAAGUGUAUGGAUUCAAAUUCAUAAUGAAAUUAUUGAUUUUUCAUAAUCCAAAAAUCAUUCAC